GUGGGGAAUAUUGGACAAUGGGGGGAACCCUGAUCCAGCCAUGCCGCGUGUGUGAAGAAGGCCUUUUGGUUGUAAAGCACUUUAAGCGAGGAGGAGGCUACCGAGAUUAAUACUCUUGGAUAGUGGACGUUACUCGCAGAAUAAGCACCGGCUAACUCUGUGCCAGCAGCCGCGGUCAUACAGAGGGUGCAAGCGUUAAUCGGAUUUACUGGGCGUAAAGCGCGCGUAGGUGGCCAAUUAAGUCAAAUGUGAAAUCCCCGAGCUUAACUUGGGAAUUGCAUUCGAUACUGGUUGGCUAGAGUAUGGGAGAGGAUGGUAGAAGUCCAGGUGUAGCGGUGAAAUGCGUAGAGAUCUGGAGGAAUACCGAUGGCGAAGGCAGCCAUCUGGCCUAAUACUGACACUGAGGUGCGAAAGCAUGGGGAGCAAACAGGAUUAGAAACCCUGGUAGUCC
rnacentral:rRNA from 1 species